rnacentral:rRNA from 1 species
CAAUAGCGUAUAUUAAAGUUGCUGCAGUUAAAAAGCUCGUAGUUGCAUUUCCGAGGCAAGGGAUUAGUCCGACCUUUGGUGGGUAUUUAAUCCUCUUGCCUCGUCCUUGAGUGGUGCUUCUUGGUAUUAAGUUAUCGAGGAGAUAGCCGCUCAUCGUUUACUGUGAGAAAAUUAGAGUGUUCAAAGCAGGCUUAUGCCGUUGAAUAUAUUAGCAUGGAAUAAUAAGAUAGGACCUCGGUACUAUUUUGUUGGUUUGAGAACCAAGGUAAUGACGAAUAGGGACAGUUGGGGGUAUUCGUAUUCAGUUGUCAGAGGUGAAAUUCUUAGAUUUACGGAAGACGAACUACUGCGAAAGCAUUUACCAAGGAUGUUUUCAUUAA